GACGGAGGAUGCAAGCGUUAUCCGGAAUGAUUGGGCGUAAAGCGUCUGCAGGUGGCAGUUCAAGUCUGCUGUCAAAGACCGGGGCUUAACUUCGGAAAGGCAGUGGAAACUGAACAGCUAGAGUAUGGUAGGGGCAGAGGGAAUUCCUGGUGUAGCGGUGAAAUGCGUAGAGAUCAGGAAGAACAUCGGUGGCGAAGGCGCUCUGCUAGGCCGUAACUGACACUGAGGGACGAAAGCUAGGGGAGCAAACAGG
rnacentral:rRNA from 1 species